UACAGAGGUGGCAAGCGUUGUUCGGAAUUACUGGGCGUAAAGGGCGCGUAGGUGGCCUUCUUAGUCAGACGUGAAAUCCCCGGGCUUAACUCGGGAACUGCGUCUGAUACUGGAAGGCUGGAGUUCGGGAGAGGAAUGUGGAAUUCCAGGUGUAGCGGUGAAAUGCGUAGAUAUCUGGAGGAACACCGGUGGCGAAGGCGGCACUCUGGACCGAAACUGACGCUGAGGCGCGAAAGCCAGGGGAGCAAACGGG
rnacentral:rRNA from 1 species